UACGGAGGGUGCAAGCGUUAUCCGGAUUCACUGGGUUUAAAGGGUGCGUAGGUGGGUUGGUAAGUCAGUGGUGAAAUCUCCGGGCUUAACUCGGAAACUGCCGUUGAUACUAUCAAUCUUGAAUCUCGUGGAGGUAAGCGGAAUAUGUCAUGUAGCGGUGAAAUGCUUAGAUAUGACAUAGAACACCAAUUGCGAAGGCAGCUCGCUACACAUAUAUUGACUCUGAGGCACGAAAGCGUGGGGAUCAAACAGG
rnacentral:rRNA from 1 species